AUCAACUAAAAUAUUUAUUUAAUUCAAUAAAUAUUUGAAAUUACAAUUAAAAUUCUAGAUUGUUACAAUAACUAUUAUCUUGCAUAACCAAGUUAUGAUUUAUACUAAACACCCUUCUGGACAUAAAUAAUCCUAUUACAUCUACCCAGAAACUCAGAAACCAAAGAGAUCAGUAUUCAAAUUAUGAGGACCAACGUAGCUGCACUGGUCUUGGCUUGAGAAGUGGCGUAGCUACACAAAUUCGACUUCAGACCAGACAAUGCUCUACUUUCUGCAUAUUCCAAAAUUCAUUCACCAAAUCAUCCAUUUUGCUAUUUAACAGCUAUGAUAAAAUUCCAUAUAACUGAAAUCAAGCUUAUAAUCUUUUUUGUAAACUUCAAAAUACCAAAAUUUUGUAGAACAUUCUUUCUGGGGCAUUUGAACAAAUAGUUUGGAGGUGUAAACUUAAGAAACCCAAAUUGCUGGCCAUUUUAAUCAUACUUAUCCCAGAUUUCACUUGAAAUCUUUUCUUUAUUGCUUCAUAUACAUAUAUAAAACUAUUUAAACACAACCCAAUUCAAUUUCAUUAUUAUCACAUGUAAAUUUGCCUAUUUUUUUUAUAAACAAUGUAUAAAUACAAGGAUUACCUCUUAAUUUGCUAAAUUUCCUUGCUUAGAUUGAUUCAAUGAUUAUCUUAAAAUGGAUAUGUUGUUCCAAUCCUUCUUUUAACUUCAAAUUAGUCCCAACUUCUUGAGAAUCUGAGAGUUUUUAUGGAAGUAUAGAAAUCUGAAUAUUAUGGUGUAUAAAAUAGAUGAUCAAGAGAGUAGGAAAUCUGAGUAUUUGGCUUAUAUAGAGAAUUUCUCGUAACUUUGCUGAUUAUUUGACCUACUGAUACCCAAAUCUUGUCAGCUCCUUCUUCCUCUUCAUGACUCAGCUCUAUCCCUUAAAAUUCUAGCAGCUCAGCUUAAUAACUCCUUCUAAUAACC
rnacentral:lncRNA from 1 species